GCCUGGGGUAGCUCAGUCAGUAGAAUGUGCAGCUCUUAAUCUCGAGGUUGUGGAUUUGAGCCCCACUUUGGGCA